UUAGGAACUCGGCACACCGGGACACCCCACGUUCCACUUACACAAGGAUCACAAAGCUAUAUAGGGCAAACAACACCUCUAAAAAACACAAGGUUCAAUAAGUUGUCCAGAAAAACCUACAGAAGCGGGAUGCCUGGGUGUGCGUUGGAGCUGCCUUUGCUACCCGCACACAGCGUUUCUGACCUACGGGCGCUGUUUAUACAACAGAGAAAAGCAAC